UACGGGGGGGAGCAAGCGUUGUUCGGAUUUACUGGGCGUAAAGGGCGCGUAGGCGGCCAGCACAAGUCAGUUGUGAAAUCUCCGAGCUUAACUCGGAAAGGUCAACUGAUACUGUGCGGCUAGAGUGCGGAAGGGGCAACUGGAAUUCUUGGUGUAGCGGUGAAAUGCGUAGAUAUCAAGAGGAACACCUGCGGCGAAGGCGGGUUGCUGGGCCGACACGUGACGCUGAGGCGCGAAAGCCAGGGGAGCGAACGGG
rnacentral:rRNA from 1 species